AGGUCCCUUCCAACCCAAACCAUUCUGUGAUUGUAUGAUACCACCUUCAGCCUACCCUGCUAUCUUCCCUGCUGGCAUCUGAAAUACGUAUAAGUGCUGGUUGUGCCUCACAGGGAUUGGAAAUGAGGCUUUAAUUGCAAACAGGGUGAGCAAUGGAUGGCAGUUUUUACAAGCAGACAUCGUUUCAGUCACAGGAGCUAGCAGUCAUGAACAAUUGGCUAUCAGGGAUCAAAGUAUACCCUUACAACUGGGGAAGUAGGGCUCAUUGAGAGGGGUUUUAUCUCAAACUCUAGGCAUUAGAGGAAGGUUUAAGUAGAUGGUCAUGGUUUCAAGGAGAACUUUAACUCUCAAGUGCUCCCCAGUACCUCGCUGCAUGGGCCCGCAGCAGCAGGACUGAGCUACACUGAGCCGUGCGGAAUGUGGAGCUGGUUCAGAUGUGAAUGUCCCUGUUCUGGGAGAAGCAGAUAGUGAGAAAACAGCAACAAAAUAAAAAUAUCCCCCCAAACCCCAGUGCUCUGAUUUGGAAUCUGAAACAGCGCUCUGGUGUUUCCCACAGGAGGAACCCCCCACAUGUUCCAAGAAGCUGCACUGACAAUUCCCUAUUUUUCUCCCUUCUGGAAGGGUGUUUCGGCAGCUCCAGGUCCUGAACUGGGGAAGGGUGUUCCUGAAAUGCAAACAGGAAUUCUCCAGGGUUUUCUGGCUCAGGAAAUGGGUCCUCAGACCUGAGCCUGAUUUCAUGGAGCCAAGGAUCCCAGGAGUCCCCAGCAGGUUGGUAGAAACCCAGCAGUCAAGUCCUGCCAGAAGGGACAAUUCCUAUUGCUCCUGCUUUUCGGAUUUCAUGUCCUUGGCAUAUUUUGGCUUUGUGGGCUGUUAAAGGAUGCUCAACGAGGCUGCCCCUUCCUUUUUAAAGAAGGUACUCUAGCGUAAAUCUAGGCAAAACCAACCCCAAACCAAAAUCAGCUUCCCCUGAACUCCCCCUGAGGUUUUUUUCCAUAAGCAUCCUAAGGACUUUCUUGAAAUAAAAGCAAAACUAUGUAUAUUUUGAAA
rnacentral:lncRNA from 1 species